rnacentral:lncRNA from 1 species
UUCAUUAAAAACAAUAAGUUCAUACAACUCCAAGAAUAUAAAAUAAAAUGUAAAAUCCGUGUCCCUUUGUCAGGGUUGCAUCCAGCCCUAGUGAAGAGCUUAGCCCUGCAUGGAGAAUUGAACAGCCGCCGCAGUAGAGAAGGCUUUCAUUGUGACCUGCUCUUCUUUCUUUCUUCCUCUAGCGACUUUCAUUGAAGAAACUCCCUCUUAGCACUUCAUUUUUUUAUAUAGGGGAAAUCAUUCCCGAAAUGCCCCAAAGUCUUCUCUCUCUCCUUCUAUUAUUUUUUCUUUUGUGUGGAACUCCCCUCCUCCGAAGAGAUCCUGGAACCGGACCCGCCAAGCUUGCCUUCAUCUUCAUGCAUUGAUUCCCUUUUAUAGCCUUCACCUGGGUGGGAGGAUAAGGUUGAUUGAGCUGAUCUGCCGUUGGGAAGAUGAGCUGGGAUUUCUUCAACGUGGAGGAGAUGCGGCUGGUAGUUGAUCCGGAAGUUGUGUUGCUUGAUCUUCGGCUGCAGGGGAUGGCGAGGACGUGGAGCAAGAUGCAAGAGAUGCUGGGAUGAAUCCAUGGAUAAGGAUCAACUCAGGAGCUUGGAACGUUGUGGAUGCAGUGGAAUUAACCAACGCUUCUUCACGUGGAACGGCUGGGACACGGAACAGGGGAUGCUGACGAAGACUUUGUGAUGUUAGGAGGAUCUCGGCUGAUGGCUGGGAGCUUAUCCAUCGAGAAGAAUCGGAAGGAGUUGAUCUUGCGAACGAAAAGAAAGUUGGGACUUGGCUAGCAGCUGGAAAAUAGGGUAUGAAGCCGGAAGAUUCAGAGAAAAGGAUGAGGUUGAAUCGCAGAAGAAAAGGGAUAAGAAUGAGUUGUAUAAGCGACUGGGAACGGUUCUGAAAUAGGGGAGCUUGGUCUGUGGACGUGACGUGGAAGGAAUCCGGAAGAAGAACUCUUACAUGAUGCUUGAUCUGUGAUGGUGCGGAGAUGUAGUGGGUGAGAGGAAGAUGAGGAUAAAUCACGGAGAAUGGGGAAGAUCUUGGCUUUGUUCCUUAGAUGGGAAGAUGAUCCAGAAGGACUGAUGUUGCUUCAUUCCUUGGGAGGAUGGAAUCGGAUCCCUGCAGACGGUUUGGCUCUGUUUGGAUGCCGUGAAUGCAGGGGAGGAUGAAGUCGAAUCAUGGAUAAGGAAUGAGAACAACAUGGGAUGAUAUGGAAGGAGCGGAAGAAGGUAUGCAUGAUCUGAUCCUCACAGUAGUUCAGAAUUCACUGAUGCUCAAGAUGAAGCUGAGAGGAUCUCGGCUGGGAGGAGAUACGGGAGGCGUGAAAAUGAUAGGUGCUCUGUUAUGCAUUUGGUUCGGAUUCGUGGAUGAGAAGAAGUCAGAAGAAGAUGGGAUGCUCAUCCGGAAGAUGCUGGGAACGGAUGCCUGGGCUUUAUCCCGUGGGUGAUGGAAUGAAGUUGUUUGGGACGCAAUCAGCUUGGGAUAAGGAUUUGAUCUAGUUGGAUGAAGGAUUAAUCAGCUUGGGAUGAGGGGGUUGUUUGGAUUUGACUAAUGAUUGAUCCGUGAGAUAAAGAUGGAACAGAGGAAUCGUAGAGAGGACGCAUGAGGUGCUGGGAUUCCGUUCGUGGGAUAUUGGGAAGGAUGCGGAUGAGAUCCUGAGAUGGCUGGUUGCAAACGGGAUUAGAUU